GGGUCUUUCACUUCGGUGACCUAGUGACAGGUGCUGCAUGGCUGUCGUCAGCUCGUGUCGUGAGAUGUUCGGUUAAGUCCGGCAACGAGCGCAACCCACAUCCUUAGUUGCCAGCAGUUCGGCUGGGCACUCUAGGGAAACUGCCCGUGAUAAGCGGGAGGAAGGUGUGGAUGACGUCAAGUCCUCAUGGCCCUUACGGGUUGGGCUACACACGUGCUACAAUGGCAGUGACAAUGGGUUAAUCCCAAAAAACUGUCUCAGUUCGGAUUGGGGUCUGCAACUCGACCCCAUGAAGUCGGAAUCGCUAGUAAUCGCGUAACAGCAUGACGCGGUGAAUACGUUCCCGGGCCUUGUACACACCG
rnacentral:rRNA from 1 species